rnacentral:rRNA from 1 species
UACGUAGGGGGCAAGCGUUGUCCGGAAUCAUUGGGCGUAAAGAGCGUGUAGGCGGCCCGAUAAGUCCGCCGUGAAAGCCCAGGGCUCAACCCUGGGAUGCCGGUGGAUACUGUCGGGCUAGAGUUCGGAAGAGGCAAGUGGAAUUCCUGGUGUAGCGGUGAAAUGCGCAGAUAUCAGGAGGAACACCUAUGGCGAAGGCAGCUUGCUGGGACGACACUGACGCUGAGACGCGAAAGCGUGGGGAGCAAACAGG